CCUACGGGGGGCAGCAGUGGGGAAUAUUGGGCAAUGGGCGCAAGCCUGACCCAGCAACGCCGCGUGAAGGAAGAAGGCUUUCGGGUUGUAAACUUCUUUUCUCAGGGACGAAGCAAGUGACGGUACCUGUGGAAUAAGCCACGGCUAACUACGUGCCAGCAGCCGCGGUAAUACGUAGGUGGCAAGCGUUAUCCGGAUUUACUGGGUGUAAGGGGCGUGUAGGCGGGAAAGCAAGUCAGAUGUGAAAACCACGGGCUCAACCUGUGGCCUGCAUUUGAAACUGUUUUUCUUGAGUGCUGGAGAGGCAGACGGAAUUCCUGGUGUAGCGGUGAAAUGCGUAGAUAUUAGGAGGAACACCAGUGGCGAAGGCGGUCUGCUGGACAGCGACUGACGCUGAGGCGCGAAAGCGUGGGGAGCAAACAGGAUUAGAUACCCCGGUAGUC
rnacentral:rRNA from 1 species